rnacentral:rRNA from 1 species
UUUAACUGAGCGUUCAGUUACUUGACGUAGACCCGAAACCGGGCGACCUACCCAUGAGCAGGAUGAAGCGAAAGUAAAAUUUCGUGGAGGUCCGAACCCACGAGCGUUGAAAAGCUCGGGGAUGACUUGUGGGUAGCGGUGAAAUUCCAAUCGAGCCCGGAGAUAGCUGGUUCUCCCCGAAAUAGCUUUAGGGCUAGCCUCAAGGUGAGAGAUACGGAGGUAGAGCACUGAAUGUCCUAGGGGGUAUUGCACCUACCGAAGACUAUCAAACUCCGAAUGCCGUCAUCUUAUACUUGGGAGUCAGACUGUGGGUGAUAAGAUUCAUAGUCGAAAGGGCAACAGCCCAGAUCGUCAGCUAAGGUCCCUAAAUGUAAGUUAAGUGGUAAAGGAUGUGGGAUUGCACAGACAACCAGGAUGUUGGCUUAGAAGCAGCCACUCAUUCAAAGAGUGCGUAAUAGCUCACUGGUCGAGUGAUCCUGCGCCGAAGAUUUCCGGGGCUAAAACUUACUACCGAAGCUACGGCAUCAGUAAUGAUGGGUAGGGGAGCUUCCCAUACGGGUUGAAGCAUGACCGUAAGGACAUGUGGACAGUAUGGGAGUGAGAAUGUUGGCAUGAGUAGCGAGAUGUGGGUGAGAAUCCCACAGGCCGUAAACCCAAGGUUUCCAGGGGAAGGUUCGUCCGCCCUGGGUUAGUCGGGACCUAAGCUGAGGCCGAAAGGCGUAGGUGAUGGACAACAGGUUGAUAUUCCU